UACGUAGGGUGCAAGCGUUAAUCGGAAUUACUGGGCGUAAAGCGUGCGCAGGCGGUUGUGCAAGACAGAUGUGAAAUCCCCGGGCUUAACCUGGGAACUGCAUUUGUGACUGCAUGGCUAGAGUACGGUAGAGGGGGAUGGAAUUCCGCGUGUAGCAGUGAAAUGCGUAGAUAUGCGGAGGAACACCGAUGGCGAAGGCAAUCCCCUGGACCUGUACUGACGCUCAUGCACGAAAGCGUGGGGAGCAAACAGG
rnacentral:rRNA from 1 species